GGACCAUCUCCCCAGACCGGUCACCUCUUCCUGGGUCAGAGCCGCUGACCCCCCAUCACCAGCUGUAAUAACUGGCGCCCGAACAGCCUUGGACCCCGGACCCCGGACCUGGCCUGAGCUGUGUCUUGACACGCCAAGACAGAACCAGCCGUUCGUGUGCUGCUCCUCUGAAGAUAGACCUACGUUUUAGCAGGCCUUUUGGACGGGGACAGUUCGAGACCCUUGCCUCCCACCUAGGACUGAAGUCCCUGAGGAUCGAACUGCCAGACCAUCCCCCCAGCAGACCUUUCUAGGAGCCAGCCUCACCAGAAAACGGGAUUUGGUAAGAAUUGCCAGAAGAGCUUUCUGCUGUUGAAAUGCUAAACUCCCCUAUUCAGUAACUGUACUGAGUUCAGUGAAAUACUUAGUACAUAGGAAAUAAUUACUCUCCUUUGACAAACUUCAUGAAACUGAAAUACAGGGUAAUUCAAAAUUAGGUUCAUAAUGCCUGAUUCCUGGAUAUCAGAACAGAACAAGCUCAAAACCUAGCUUCUUAACAGAGGAGGAGACAAAAUUUAACUUGUAAGUAUUUCCUUACAUUAUUUCUGGGCUAAAUCUAUUUACUCCUGGGGUGGGGUUUUUUUGUUUUUUUGUUUUUGUUUUUGUUUUUGUUUUUGUUUUUGUUUUUUAUGUUUGCACAGUAGAGGGAGCUGAAAGUUUAAAAUGUAUAUUCAGUAUGUAACUGUUGCCUGUAAAGAUGAGAAAUGUGGGUGGAAUAACGCAUGAGGUUUUAGCAUUGUAGUUCAGGAAGAUCAUGGACAUUUAUUCCAAGCUACUAAGUUAAAUGAGUCAGAGGAUUUUAAGUCAGUGGCAUUAAUGGUCUUACCUGGAAGCAUUACCAUGUAGAAUGUAAGACAGCAGAGGCUGCUCAACCAUAUGCUUUGCAGCUGAUUUUAUUAAACUACAGCUUACCUUCAUGCUGUUCAUGUUCAGAAAUACUCAUUUAAUGGAAAAAUUUAAAUAUAUAUAUUUCGUUACCUUUUUAAUGCUUUGAGAAUUGAGAAUUGAGAAAUAAUCUUUUCAGAUUCUUCAAGUGUUGAGGUUUUCUUUCAGUUGCCAUCAAAUUGGUUUCAGUUGAGCCUGAGAUUCAGUCCAAUGGAGCUCCCAAUAUAAAGGCACAUGUAUUUGUCCUUCAGCCUGUUUCUGUGAACACAGUCCAUGUUAACCUCUCCUUCUCCUAUCUCCAUUAGAUUAAACUAUUUAUGCUAAGCCCAUUUUGAUAAAACCAGGCAAGGGAGUGGCUGCAUUUUUAGGGGCCUGGUAGAUUUGGAAGAAAAUGUAAACCUGUGUUAUCUUUUGCCUUCCCAAAGCUACAGGCACCAUGCACGUCCUAAUGAAAAGUCCCUCAAUUAGUGUUUAUUUCCAACACACAUGGGAAUCAUCAGGAAACCCUCUAAAGAAUAAAAUGCCCCAUUUUCCUUGCUGUCCUUUGACUGUAUUAGAAAAAUCACCUACCUCGCAGCAACCCUACUUGAUCCUCCUGUUUCUGGGGCAUCUCUGAACACCUUCAGAGAAGCAUGGAGCAGCACCUCUGCUCUGCUGAGGGCAGAACUUCUUUUGAGCAAUUUGGCUGGGGCCCGGCUGCUUUCUUAGUUGCAGAGAGGGGCCAGUUAACAUGCUGCCUUUUGAGGCACAUCUGCUGCAUGGCCUCCCCUGGGUGGAAGCAGCAGAGGAGCUGAGACCUCAACAGGCAGCUUGGGUACAUCAUGAGGCCACACCUGACCAAAGCUGCAGUGACCUCUGUGGCUGUGAGUUCUUUUGGCUCUUACAGUCGGGAAAGCCUUGAUUUUCCUCCAUAUCCUUUGUCUGGGAAUUAGAAGGUCUAGUGUACAAAUGUAAGUGUACAAGGUGUACAAAGGUGUCAGCAAAAGGCAGAGGAGGGGAGGGCUUUGAAGGUUCUUUUAAGUGAAGACAAGAAAUUUGCAAAAAACAACUUUAGGCAGUAGGAUUUUCUUAAUGUGAUGAGAUGCCUGGCACUGAUGGCAAAAAACGUUUAUUGUGAAUUUAAUAGAGGAUGUGACAGAAUGAGAGCUCUAGAUGCAUGGACAGUCACAUCUCAGGCAAGGGGAGAGGAAGGCACGAAAAAGAUCAACACUAAGAUUUGUGAGCUUAAAAGAUGAAGUUAAUUUUGUGAGUGGCAUUUUGGAAACAGAAAUUGCCACUUUUACAUCAGAUCUUUCCUGUUGUUACCUGUAUUAUUAAAAGAGAUGGCUUUAUAAGCAAUUGUUUAAUCCCUGUAUAUGAUUCAUCCUGCUGUUUCUUUGCAGAUGGCUGCAGGAAUGGCAGUUCAGGCUGUGCACCACGGGGUGUCUCUCCCUGGUAGAGUAUGGCAUCCUUUCUGCUGUGACCCACAUCCUCUCCCCGCCGAUAAUUACUUUCUCUUAUCUGAUGAAGAAAAUUCCCUUCAAAGGAUUUCUUUGAUUAAGGAAAUUCAUUAAUAUGAUGUCCAGAUAAUAUUAAUGCUUCCCUGCUUAAGUCUUGUCAUUUACUGUUUGAUCAGCACAUUAUUCCAUAGAAGAUCAGCAUCUUUGGAGUUUAAUGGAAGCUCUGCUAUCAAUUAAUUAAUAUUUUUUAGGUUCCAGAAAAAAAAAAAUUGAGAAAAGUAAAUCCAUGUGUUAUUAUUGCAGGAAACAUCCCUGCCCAUCUCCUACACAUACAGAUUUAAUGUAAAUCCUUGGGAGUGUUUACCUGAGGAACAAUCUCCUGCUUGGGCUUUCUGAGAUCAUCUCGCAAACUGUCAUAUUCAUACUCAGCAAAACAGAGAAAUUAAAUAAAUGUUUAGGAAAUUAAGGUCCUUUUGACGCUACGAGCAACAGCUAAACGGUGUGAUUGUUCACAGUUCCCACUAGAUGGCUCCCGAGGUUCAGAGGUGAUGCAGUGCCGAGCACACAGGAUUUGAUUAAUGACCAGCGAUUCUAUCAUGUCAUAAACCACUGCUGCAAAGAACAGCUUUAGCCCAGGCAUCACCACAGGGGACGUGUGCAUAAAGAACAGUGUUCUAUAACGGGCCUGUGAGCACACAUGCAGAGAGCAAAUGAAACAACGUGGUGACCAGCAACAAUUAAACGAAUUCAAUGGUUCCUUAAAAUUUGUUUUAACAAGCUCUGAUUGGAUCUGUUGUUAUCUCAAUCCUCCAGGCCCUACAUUGGGCACCAAAAAUGUCUGUUUUGGUUUAAUCCCAGCCAGCAACUAAGAGCCAUGUAGCUGUCACCUCACUACCCUCACCCCAGUGGGAAGAGAAUUGGAAAGAAGAGGCAAAACUCAUGGGUUGAAUUGAGAACAGUUUAAUAAUCGAAACAAAAUAAAAUGUGCUACUACAGCUACUGACAAUUGUAAUGGAAAAGAGAGACAAGGAGCAAUAAAAACAAAUAGAAACAAGUGAUGCACAACACCAUUGCUCACCACCCCACUGACUGAUGCUCAGCCCAUCUCCCAGCAGCAAUCGGUGCCUCCUGGCCAACUCCCCCCAGUUUAUAUACUGGACAUGAUGUCCUGUGGUCUGGAAUAUCCCUUUGGCCAGUUUGGGUCAGCUGUCCUGGCCAUUUUCCCUCCCAGCUCCUCACUGGCAGAGCACGGGAACCUGAAGAGCCCCUGGCUCAGGUUAAGCACUGCUGAGCACCAACUGAGCCAUCAGUGUGUUAUCAACAUCAGUCUCAUACUGAAUUCAAAACAUCACACUGUACCAGCUAAGAAGAAAAUUAACUCUAUUAACUAACUCAGCUGAAACCAGGACAGAUCUUUUUUAUUUAUUUCUCCCAGAAAGAAAGAAAUAUUACAAGGAAUCUCUUAAAGGAAAUGUAUUCAUUUAAGAAAUAGAAUUUCUUACGUGAACACAGCUUUCAUCACAAGUUCAGUCAUAGGCCUUCACUUUAUUCAGAAUUAAGAAUAGCAGUGUUCUGAAGAGCAGACAAAAGAAUUAACAGCCAUGGUUCUGAUAGAGGAAGAGUUGGGACAUAUGUGUAGAAGACAGAGCAAGUUUAAAAUAUUUGGAGGUAAUACUGUUUUUUAAAAGUAGUUGCUUAAUUUACAGUGUGAAUGGGUUUUGGGUUUUUGAUUAAAUAUUUAGGAUUCUUUUUUCCCCCCACUUUAAGCACUUUUGGGGAAUUAUAAUUAUGUAAUGUUAUAAUUAUUUUUGUUCUGGGUUAUUCUGCUUGGAAUUGGUUUUGAAACUCACAUUUAUUUGAACCUCUAGUGUAUAAUUAAGGCAAAUGACACUCUUGUAAGAGUAGUGCAAAAAACCCCCUACCUCUGAUGUGUUCUACACUGUUUGACUUUACUGUGAACUUUCAAUCUUGGUUUGGCUUUCGGGCUGGGGGAGAUUUCAUAUUCUCCGAUAGCUCUCACUUCCUCUAGUGCAGCAUUGUACUCUGCUAAGGUCAAGCAGUAAAUUCCACCUGAAAUCAUCGAGUUGAAACUCAGUAGCUGAUACAGUAGUUGGAAAUGGCAAGUGUGCAUGUGGGCCAGUGGUACACCACCUGCUGUGCCUGUCAUCCACUUACAUCCUUCCUCUGAUUUAGAAAUCCCUGGAGACAAUGCCAAAGAUAGCUCGCCUUUGGAAUAUUUUAUAUCUGUGUCUGCCAACAAAAUAGCUGCCUAUGUCAGUUAAUCUCGAUUAUUUAAAGCCCUUUUGCUCAUCUAUAUUAUUUGUUCACUUCCCUUCCAUGGAAAAAUUUAGUAUCUAGUAAAUUUGUUAUGGGAACUAUUGUUACCUCAUUUUGUUGUUUUUGAUCUUUUCUAAAUUUAAAAUAAAAAGAAGUGAUGGUAAGAAGGGAUCCUGACUAAGAUUUAACUGGUACUUCCAAGAGAUGCAGAUCAUUCUACUAUUAGAGCCAAAAACAGCGAGAGAUUUUUACAGCAGUUCAAUUAAAUAUGAAGGGCUACAUGUUCUGUUAAAGGUACAUUUUUGAUGAACAAAACCUUUCAUAAAAAGUAAACAUUUGAAAAGAUAGUAUUUCCUUUCUUCAAUAGUUUCUACUUUCAUCUGAGGAUUGAUAUUAUUUCAUGUUACCUAAUGCAUAAAUACACACUUUACUUUUCUUAAUAAUAGCAGGAAUUUCCUUAAAAUUAAAGUUAGUUCUCAGUGAAUCAGAGAUUGAGCACACCAGUCUCAGCAGCCUACACUGCUGUUUGAUACAAUACAAAGAUAGUGAGUGCUACCAAGAUAAAUCUUCAACCCACUGUUCCCACCUGUGUCCUGUUCUUAUUUCUGUGCUGCCCCAGAUGUUUGAGAAACAUCAUUUUUUCAAAUGAGAGCUAUGGUCACUUGUCACAUUGAGAUAUUCUCUGUCAUUUGAGGUCAGCAGAACCCGAGCAGAUGCUCUCCCUUCUGAAAGUGCAACAAACUCAAUUAAACCUUUAAUUGAGGCACUUGUAAAUGCAAACAGCAGUUUCAUUCCUAUGUGGGGGAAAUAAUUGGUGUCCUUCACUGAGGUAAUUUGGAGGGAAUCCCAAGACAUGAAAGUAUGCGGUCAAAUGGUAAAAGAACCCUUGUGAAUGGAUACAUUUGCAGUACCUGGACAGAUUUAUGAAAGAGACAGAAAACACAAGCAAUGGUGUCUUUGACACAUCACCUUUCUUUCCUCCCUUCCCCUUUUUCAAUGGCAGUGACAAUCAGUGAUAUUCUUCAGGCAACUGCCAACAAAUUUUCUCCAAAUUUCUCGUUAAUAAUUAAAAGUAUUUACUGUGCAUAUCUUCUCAGUCAGGAGUAAGGGAGGCAGUACUAAUAAAGUGAAUGAUGAAGGGGUCUUCUCCUCAAGUAAUGAAACCUGGGGCUCUGCACCGUGGCACUCCAAGGGAAAUUGGUCAAGUAAAACAGCAAGAGGCAAUAUUUAUGCCUGCUUUCACAUUUUAUGCAAUUUGUAGCACAUGCUGUGAGAUGUGUCAGUGAAAGAGAUGUAAGUGUUCUGUGCAUGAACUGGGCUUGCCUUGGGACUGUAAAGAUGACAAGAUUAAAAUAGGAUGAUUUAUUAUGAUAGAAAUACUUGUGAAUGCAAUAGUAGGUUGAACUCAGCCUUAAUGAAAACAUGUUAUGAUUUAUUUUUUUUAUUUUCUAUUUUACUUUAGAAGGACAAUUAUACUAAGAAUUAGAUAAUUAGAAAUGUUAUGUAUUGCACUCAUUUGGUGCUGCCAAAUAACGUUAUAUUUACUAUAGUAAUAUUUUCCAUUUUAUAUAGUGCUGCAUUUUUCCAUGGAAUGGAAAUUUAUGGAAUUUCUCAUUUAAGAAGUGUCCUAGGAUCUGUCUUGCUCAACCCUAAUGCCAGUCAUUCAUGCACCUAGGAAGGACAAUUAGUCUGUUGUCAUGCUAAGGAGAUGCUGGUGCAUAACUGCACUGAUCAGAGCCCACAUGUGGAAUCAGAAAUCCUGUGCUCAGACUGAACUCAAAUAGGCUUUGCUGCUUUCUCUUGCAGUAGGUUUAUGUUGCUAUCUCACCAAUCUCUGUGGAGUCAGCUGAGUUCCAAUGAUUAUAAAAUGAUCCUUGAAUGUUCCUUCAGAUAUAUGUCAGCCUUCAGCUCUGUAAUAUUUUGUACGAAAAUAAAUUCUAACAGUGUUAUUAUUUCUA